AUCUUGUAUCGAUAAUAUCGAUACUUUUCCCACAUCCCUAUUGCAAACGGACAUUGAUGUUAUAUACCAGUAAAUAUUCUUAAUCACAAAUUAAGAUUGCUUUCAAAGGCUAUUUUUUUCAGAAAUAACUCUAAAUCAAAGACCCAGCAAGGAUUAAUCUAUUUCCAUUCAAUAACAAGUUUUUUGAACCAUCCUGAAGCACUAACAGAAAACAAGAUAUCUGCAACUUAAAGUAUGUUUCCUGAGGGUAGGGGCCAUUUGCUUCAAUUUUAUCCCCAGUGCCUAGCACAGUGCCUGGCACAUAGGAAAUACUAAACUUACUGUCCUGUUUCCAGUUCCUUCCUGGUCUUAUUUCCUUUCAUACAAGAAACUCUCUGGCUGUGGAUAAUAAAAAAAUAUUCUAAGACUCAUAGAAUGUUGGAAUUGGCAAGUCCUUAGAAGUCUCUCUUUCCCCACUUUCAGCUACUCAGAGCUUCAGGAACAAAGCCACCAAAAAAGAAGAGGUAAAUUGGAAAGCAGUCCUGCUAUACCGUGCAGUCAGACCGUCAAGACAGAAUCUGAUUUAUUGCCGUCAGCUUCCACCAUCUGAAUCUGAGUGAGGCCUUCUUAUCCCCAAGGGAGCCUGACAAAUUUUAGGAUUUCUGAUCGUACAACUGCUAUCUCUAGGGAGAAAAUAAAGAGUACAGAACAGAAGAAAAUAUGAGAAGCGUUUCAUCUCAAGAUAGGGAAGGCGAGGACAGGGCCUCAUUUAGAACUUUUAGAGGCCCGGAGCUCUGAAAAGAUUCUGAUUCCUCAGAUACUGUUACAUAAAGUCAGUACCAAGCUGUAAAUUACCAAAUGCAGAACUUACCUGCAUACUUAAAUUAAGAGCUUCUCUCCAGAUUUUUCUGUUUAUAAAAAUGGAUAAGUUUAUCCUGGCUGAACUUUAUUCAAUUUUUGGUAUCCCUGCUUUGCUGGUGUCCAUAGAGCGAUCAAGGAUAGGCAAAGACCUUAUCUUAGAUGUGCAUUUUCCUUGCUCAUGUCUCAUCCCAAUACCUUGCACACAACAGGUACUUCAUAAAUGGGUUGGAGAUGGGGACGGGUAGUGGCAAAGAAGCACUACCUUAUAUAACUGGAUAAUCAAAAUAAGUUGUCAACA